rnacentral:lncRNA from 1 species
AAAAAGGAGGUGAUUCGAAUACUGUUUGAUGAAGACCAAACGAAUCAAAUUUUUUUUAUUCCACUUGUUUGUUAGAGAACGCAGGACAUGUUGGUCUAGAAAUUUGAGGCCUCUGGGAACUACUCAGUGAAAAGUGGGUACAAAGCGAAAGACUAGUAGCUAUACUGGAUACAAAGAUGACAAAUACAAAGACUUCUACAAAAUUCUUUGGGAGUUACAGAUCCCUGCUAAAAUUAAAAUCCAUUCAUGGAGACUCAUUAGCAACUAUGUACCACAUUUUGUCAAUCUUUUUCAAAGGCGACUUCUUGUAGAUGUGGCUUGUCCUCUCUGUAAAGAAGCCCCGGAGGAUUCUGAUCACCUCUUAUGGACGUGUGGAGUUUUGCAGCAGUUAUGGGUCCCCUCAAUGUUAGCUCUGUUCCGAAUGAUUUCACCUCUCAUGGCAGAGAUAAUUUUAUCAAUAAGUUUAUUGAGACGGAUGUCAGUCUGAGACAGACCCUUAUUAUUUCUUUAUGGGCUCUUUGGCACAAAAGAAAUAAAUUGAUAUAUGAAGGAAUUAAGUACUCCAAGCAGGAUCUUGUUGGUUUUAUCCGAGGGUAUUGUCAAGAAAUAUCUUCUUGUCAUACAAAUUCGAAGUCGUUUCCUAUCUCUACGAGGAAUCAGCUAUGGCGUCCCCCUAACAGUGGGACGUCCUUCCUAAAAGAAUCAAGAAUUUCUUUUGCAGUUGUUCUUGCAAGAAAUAAUGAGGGGCAGUUUUUUGGUAUGUGCACUUACCCUUUCGGCGAUGUGGUGGACGCGAUUGUUGCGGAAACGAGAACCUGUGAAAGGGCCAUGCUUUUUGCGGCUGAUCUGGGGUGGAAGAGGAUUCUUUUAGAAGGGGACUCUCUGACAACUAUUAAGAAACUGAACUCAGAGGAGGAGGAUAGAUCUAUCCUUAGACCAAUUAUUAAUAACAUUCGUGUUCUUAGGAAAAAGUUUGAGAAUGUCUCGUACCUGCUUGUACCGAGGGUGGUUAAUAGUACAGCGCAUACCUUGAGAGCUUUUGGUCUUAAGAACCACCGGAAUCAGUUCGGAAAAUUAUGGAGAAAGAUUUGGAAGCCUAGGUUCAGAGAGGUUGAGGGGUUGGGCAUUCUUUGAAGAGGGAGAAGGCGCUGUAGACUCUCCAAGGUUAGGUUUCAAAGAUGUUUUACUUCUUUGUUCGAUAUCUGAGUAAUUCUGUGUGGGAAAGGUAGCCAUAUCGUCAGGGGCGUAGCCAGGGGGUUGGCAUAGGCCCCGGUCCCCCUAAAGCAUAAAAUUGUAUUUUAGGCCUUUAAAUUUUUUUAAAAAUUUUAAAUUAGUAAAAGUAAAAUUACACUUUGAC